AAAGGGGUACUCCGGUGGAAAACUUUUUUUUUUUUUUUUAAAUCAACUGGUGCCAGAAAGUUAAACAGAUCUGUAAAUUAAAGAAGAAAAAACUAUAUAGGUGUGUGCAGCUCACAACUAUUACGCACCGAGGUCAAACUGGGCAAGCAACUAUACCUUAAUUGCUAGAAAGGGAAAAACCAAAAAAUACAAUGUAGCCCGGACCUUCUAGCAGAAGAAGCUCCAUACGUAAAUACAGGAGGAACAUUAAACAAAGGUUCGUGCGCUCGUCUUCUGAUGUUGCAGGAUGAAGAUGACAAAUAUUGUCUUCAGUCAAGUUAGGCCUGAAGCCUUCAACUUCAGCAGUCUUCUAAACAGUGAGUUAAUCCAACUCCAAUCUUACCAAUCCUACGUGACUAUGGAACCUAAACCUACCCCUAAAUUCAGUGGAACAGCGUGCAGCAAAAUCGAAGCUUAUUUCACAACAAAGUCCCAGCCAACC